rnacentral:rRNA from 1 species
ACACUCCUACGGGAGGCAGCAGUGAGGAAUAUUGGACAAUGGGUGGAAGCCUGAUCCAGCCAUCCCGCGUGCAGGAAGACGGCCCUAUGGGUUGUAAACUGCUUUUAUCUGGGGAUAAACCUACUUACGUGUAAGUAGCUGAAGGUACCAGAAGAAUAAGCACCGGCUAACUCCGUGCCAGCAGCCGCGGUAAUACGGAGGGUGCAAGCGUUAUCCGGAUUUAUUGGGUUUAAAGGGUCCGUAGGCGGACUGAUAAGUCAGUGGUGAAAUCCGACAGCUUAACUGUCGAACUGCCAUUGAUACUGUUAGUCUUGAGUAAGGUUGAAGUGGCUGGAAUAAGUAGUGUAGCGGUGAAAUGCAUAGAUAUUACUUAGAACACCAAUUGCGAAGGCAGGUCACUAAGUCUUAACUGACGCUGAUGGACGAAAGCGUGGGGAGCGAACAGGAUUAGAAACCCGUGUAGUCCCAUG